UACGAUUCACCCCUGUUCCUGAUUCGAUGUGAUUUGAUAUGUAUUUCAUGGUGAUUCAAUUCCUCACAAUAUGAUAUGAUGCAAUUUGGUGCAAUUUGAUGCAAUUCA